CGGAACGUGCCCGAUCGUGGGGGAUAACGGAGCGAAAGCUUUGCUAAUACCGCAUACGAUCUACGGAUGAAAGCAGGGGACCCUCGGGCCUUGCGCGAACGGAGCGGCCGAUGGCAGAUUAGGUAGUUGGUGGGGUAAAGGCUCACCAAGCCGACGAUCUGUAGCUGGUCUGAGAGGACGACCAGCCACACUGGGACUGAGACACGGCCCAGACUCCUACGGGAGGCAGCAGUGGGGAAUUUUGGACAAUGGGCGCAAGCCUGAUCCAGCAAUGCCGCGUGCAGGAUGAAGGCCUUCGGGUUGUAAACUGCUUUUGUACGGAACGAAAAGGCUCUGGUUAAUACCUGGGGCUCAUGACGGUACCGUAAGAAUAAGCACCGGCUAACUACGUGCCAGCAGCCGCGGUAAUACGUAGGGUGCGAGCGUUAAUCGGAAUUACUGGGCGUAAAGCGUGCGCAGGCGGUGAUGUAAGACAGUUGUGAAAUCCCCGGGCUCAACCUGGGAACUGCAUCUGUGACUGCAUCGCUGGAGUGCGGCAGAGGGGGAUGGAAUUCCGCGU
rnacentral:rRNA from 1 species